CAUCGGUAACUGUGAGUAAAUACACUGAAUAAACCUGAAUGUGUCCGUUGUGAAGUCAACCUAUUGGACCUGAGACGAGACAAAUGGUUAAUGGAAAUGCAGCUACCGUUGACCGACAGUCACCCAGGGCAGCAAUAGAAAUGGGGCGAACAAGCACCAGUUGUGAUCAGACUCACCUGCUGGACUCCUGAAUGAGAGCAAUCGCUAUCAGGAUUCUGGUUCUGAGGAAGAUGAGGGUGAGAAGGAUGAUGGCCUCCACCACACAGAGGAUUAUCACUGAGGGUCAGAGA